AUAGACUUUUUGAGUCUUGCCAAAUUUGCCCUUUUUGGCUUCCCACACCCUAAAACCUCACUUUCCUGCCAGGUCCCCAAGUUUGCUGGUGCUGGCAAAAACAGAAUCAAUGAAGCAUGGCAGACGCAGAAGCGGCACAAUAAGGCGAAAGGAAGAGCGUAUCCUGCUACUGUAUGGGCUGGAUCAACCUCAACUUGUAACUGGUGGUAGCUACUCCAUCCAUUAAUUCUUUCCCUCUGUUGAGACAACUUAAAAGUACUAAACCACUACUCUAACUCUCCUAUUUUUCCCUGACUUUUGAUCACAGUCUCUUCUCAAUUAAUUAUGUCUUACCAUAAAAGAUACAGGCAGAUACAACGUGAGCUCAAGGAACUGUUGGUUAGUAGUAGUGAAGAGGAAGCUGACUGGGUUCAUCAAAACACCAAAAUUCCCAAACUUUACCAUAAUAACUCUGACCCAUCUUUAAGCUUUUCUGACCAGGACAGUUGUGAAAGUACAUCCUUAUCCCCCUUGAUAGUAACUGCACCAGAAGAAUUAAGCACAGAUGAUGAGAGUCACCACCAUAUAUCUGAUUUGGCACUUGAAGAAGGAUUAGCUUUAUGGGCAUCAAAAAAUAACAUUACACGCCAGGCAGCAAAUGAAUUAUUGGAGCUGUUGAGGAAUAAUGGGCAUAAUCUACCUAAAGAUUCACGCACUUUGAUGGAAACUCCAAGGUAUGUAGAGGUAUUAGAAAAAUGUGGAGGACACUAUUAUUAUUUUGGGAUUGGUUCAUGUUUGCAAAAUAUAUUGAAGACUCAUCCAGCAUUUGUAAAAGAAAAUGAUUCGGUUAAACUCAGUGUAAACAUAGAUGGUAUUCCUUUACAUAAAUCAAGCAAUGAACAGUUCUGGCCUAUACUGAUAAAGUUCAGCUGCUUUAAGCCAGCAUUAGUUGCUCUGUAUUG